UUUUUUUUUCUUUUUUUUUCUUUUUUUUUCUUUUUUUUUCUUUUUUUUUCUUUUUUUUUCUUUUUUUUUCUUUUUUUUUCUUUUUUUUUCUUUUUUUUUCUUUUUUUUUCUUUUUUUUUCUUUUUUUUUCUUUUUUUUUCUUUUUUUUUUUUUUUUACUUUUUAUUCAUCAAAGUAUCCUAAAAAAGUAUCACAUGUUCUGAAAAAAUAUUAAGCAGCAGAACUGUUUCCAACUUUGAUAAUGAAUCAUCAUAUUAGAAUGAUUUCUAAAGGAUCAUGUGAUAAUGAUCUUAAAAUUCACCUUUGCAUCACAGAAAUAAAUGAUAAUUUAAAGUAUAAUAAAUUUAAAAACAAUUCUUUUAAAUUGUAAUAAUAUAUCACAAUAUUACAUUUUUUUUCUGUAUUUUUGAUCAAAUAAAUGCAGGCUUGAUGAGCAGAAGAAACUUCUUUCAAAAACAUUAAAACUAGUAAUGUUUCCAAACUUUUGACCUGUACUGUGUGUGUAUAUAUAUAUAUAUUCUUUGUAAAUUAUGAUACUUUAUGUAAAAAUGUAUGCCCUGAAUUUUUAUAUGACUACCGAAACAGUGUAUGUUUUAGUCCAUUGGCCGAGACUGGUUUGAACUAAACCCAGUGGCGCAAAAAGUGGGUAUGCGCUAUAUGCGGCGCAUAGGGGCGCCGCACCAUGGGGGACGCCAAAGCGAUGGUUAAUUUUUUUUUUAAAUAAUAAAAGUUAUAUAAAAGUUAUAAAUAAAUAAAGUUAUAUAAAUUUUAGAGUACUAACAGACUAGAGUGGGCGCCGGUGCCCUCAUAAGAUUCCAUCAUAGAAUUAAGACAUAGAAGGGUAAUAUCAGGAGUGGGCGGGGCGCCGUGAGCGCUGAGUGAACAGCAGUAACGUUAGUGAGUUGUCGUUGAAACUCGAAAAAGACGGAUAAAGCAAAAAAGCUAUCGGGGGCUAAAAAUAGAAAAAUAAAGAGGGAAAAGGAGAUGGGGGGAUGCAACAGCAGCUAAAUAAGUGGAUGGUGAAAGGCAACAGGAUUGGAGAAGGAGCCACAGAGAGAUACGAGCCAGUGUGUGGAGGAGGAGAGAGAGUGUUGUCAGGUGCAGGAGGACCAAUGCCAAAUCAGACUGAUGGGAUGCAGAUGAAGAGAUGAACUGGAAAAGAGCGAGGCAGGUGGGACGGCCUCUUUAUUGAUAACUGUAGGACCGGUCUGUAAAGACCCCGUCUGAUGUCUGUCCCUUAGGGACGUCUCUUUGUCUGUACCAUCUGUUUUAGCACACCUUUGAGAGAAGGAACAUUGAACACAGAGGAAAGGAAACGCAC
ensembl:lncRNA